rnacentral:rRNA from 1 species
CAGUCGCCACGGUAAUACGUAGGUGGCUAGCGUUGCUCGGAAUGACUGGGCGUAAAGGGCGCGUAGGCGGCGAUCAAAGUCAGGCGUGAAAUUCCUGGGCUCAACCUGGGGGCUGCGUUUGAUACUUGAUUGCUAGAGUGGGGAAGAGGGUCGUGGAAUUCCUAGUGUAGAGGUGAAAUUCGUAGAUAUUGGGAAGAACACCGGUGGCGAAGGCGGCGACCUGGUCCUUGACUGACGCUGAGGCGCGAAAGCGUGGGGAGCAAACAGGAUUAGAUACCCCAGUAGUCCCUGUCUCUUAUAC